GCCCGGAUGGCGAAACUGGCAGACGCACGGGACUUAAAAUCCCGGGUCCUUAACAGGACGUGACGGUUCAAUUCCGUCUCCGGGCACCA
rnacentral:tRNA from 1 species